GCGCUUCGGUCUACACUUCGGCCCCUUCUUCUAUGCUAGAUGUCGGAGUGUCUGCCACAGAGACGUUUUGUGCGCUUCUGAAAAUAAGCAAUGAAGUGUUAGUUUGCUUUUGUUGCGUAUACGACCUGUCUAACCUGACUUUCCAGCGGAAAUUGAACUAAUUUUUCAGUAAAUACUAGCGACAUGGAAAAGUGACUACUCAAUGGUUGAAGACAGUCAUGGUUCGAUUGUGACAAAAGGAAGUAUAAACCAUAAACCAAUGACGCGGACUUUCGGUACAAAAUCAUUCUGUGUAUGAUUUCGUUUUUCUAAGAUAUGUCUUAUAUUGACUAAUAAACGUGGUGUAAAUAUAACCGAA